AGCUUUGCACAGAGGCAGUAUCGUAGCCAUAGAGGUUUAUCUGGGGUGAGAUUAUUGCUAAUUGAAAAUGAAAACAAGAUAG
ensembl:snRNA U4 U4 spliceosomal RNA